CCUACGGGCGGCAGCAGUGGGGAAUAUUGCACAAUGGGGGCAACCCUGAUGCAGCGACGCCGCGUGAGUGAAGAAGUAUUUCGGUAUGUAAAGCUCUAUCAGCAGGGAAGAAAUAGCGACCUUUGGGUCGCCAGACGGUACCUGAUUAAGAAGCCCCGGCUAACUACGUGCCAGCAGCCGCGGUAAUACGUAGGGGGCAAGCGUUAUCCGGAUUUACUGGGUGUAAAGGGAGCGUAGACGGCAGCGCAAGUCUGAAGUGAAAUGCCGGGGCUUAACCCCGGAACUGCUUUGGAAACUGGGCAGCUAGAGUGCAGGAGAGGGAAGUGGAAUUCCUAGUGUAGCGGUGAAAUGCGUAGAGAUGAGGAGGAACACCAGUGGCGAAGGCGGCUUACUGGACUGUAACUGACGUUGAGGCGCGAAAGCGUGGGGAGCAAACAGGAUUAGAUACCCUAGUAGUC
rnacentral:rRNA from 1 species